CGCCGCAUGCGCAUAGCACAUGAAUCUCCGUCGUUAGUUUCGGUUUGUUUUCAUUGUCGCUCCUGCUUUCCUCCUCGAAUUUGCACCAUGGAAGAGAAGAAACCCAAAGGAGGACGCAAAAGAAAGACUUUAAGUCACUGAGAAGAGGAGAAAAUUGCCAGAAGAAUGUAAUCUAACCAGAGUCGUUCUUGGAGAAAUAUUUAAACGCUGGAGAGCAAUGAAGGAACAGAGAGGUGUAAAGACAGAUGCGCAGUUCGCAAAAAUUCUUCUCGACAGACCACUUGUCCUGGAAAACCUCUCAACAUCUCGGACCAAGGGCAGGGAAAUCUCCAUAGGGAAAUCUCCUGCAUGGAUGGCAGUACAUCACAGGCCGGUUUGGACUGCCAUCUUGUGGUUGUUAAUAUUUCAGGCGUCCCGAGUUGACUAGAGAGUACAUCAGCUUCAGUUUGGAUCCAGCCUCUUAAGAAGACCUCAGAUGACCAACACCUGUGAAGAGACGCCGCCAACUCCUGUGAGGACUUCAGAAGAUGCAACAUGCACUUUCCCAAAUUUAUAUAUAUCCUAAUUAUUGUUAAUAUGUAAUUCAUUUUUCCAGGAGCUCAUUGCUUCUACCUUCAAGUUAAAUGCUAACAGUGUUUAAUUAAUUGCCUAAAUUAUUACAUUACACAACUGCAUUCUUCUUUAAAUUGUAAUUUAGACAUGCAUUCUCUGUAAAGCUGGUUUGAAACGAUAUGUAUUGUGAAAAGCGCUAUACAAAUAAUUGUGAAUUGAAUUGAAUUGAACAUGACACUGCGAUGCUUGAUUGGCCAGUUAAUUUAAACAAGAAACAGUUCGAUAACUACCUAUCAUAAUCUCGAUCUGCUUCACUGUGGAAACUCAGAUUUUAAACUCAGUGAAGCUAUUAGUUUAUUUUAUCAUACUGAUCAUUGGGACAGGUAAAAACAAAUGUAGACAACUAUUUUGAUGUGAUUAUUUAUUGUCAAUGCUGUUGUUGUUAUUGAUAUUUGCUAUUAAAGCAUUUUUGAGAAAGAUUGCAGGUA